AUUGAACGCUGGCGGCAUGCCUAACACAUGCAAGUCGAACGGCAGCGCGGAGAGCUUGCUCUCUGGCGGCGAGUGGCGGACGGGUGAGUAAUACUUAGGAAUCUGCCCAGUAGUGGGGGACAACUCGGGGAAACUCGAGCUAAUACCGCAUACGCCCUACGGGGGAAAGCGGGGGAUCUUCGGACCUCGCGCUAUUGGAUGAGCCUAAGUCGGAUUAGCUUGUUGGUAGGGUAAUGGCCUACCAAGGCGACGAUCCGUAGCUGGUCUGAGAGGACGAUCAGCCACACUGGGACUGAGACACGGCCCAGACUCCUACGGGAGGCAGCAGUGGGGAAUAUUGGACAAUGGGCGAAAGCCUGAUCCAGCAAUGCCGCGUGUGUGAAGAAGGC
rnacentral:rRNA from 1 species